AAGUCGUAACAAGGUUUCCGUAGGUGAACCUGCGGAAGGAUCAUUAUUGAAUAAACUUGGUUGGGUUGUUGCUGGCUCCACGGAGUAUGUGCACGCUCACUCCAUUUUUAACCACCUGUGCACCUUGUGUAGAUCUGGAUACUGAGAUUUGCUAUUGCUAGUGUUUCUCGUAUUUAGGUCUAUGUUUUUUCAUAUACUCCAAUACGAAUGUAUUAGAACGUUGUCAAUAGGCCUUUUUGUGCCUUUAAAACAAUCAAAACAA
rnacentral:misc_RNA from 1 species